CUGCCCCUGCACUUACCCGGUCAGGGCCCGGCAAGGCGUGGUCAGCCUGCUGGACGAGC
rnacentral:miRNA from 1 species